UCCGUUGUAGCAAUACGAUGGAAAGUCUAGUGGCGAACGGGUGCUUAACACGUGGGCAACCUGCCAGGAAGUGGGGGAUAGCUCGCCGAAAGGCGAAUUAAUACCGCAUGUGAUUAGAGAGGACAUCCUUUCGAAAUUAAAGUCGGGGCAACCUGACGCUUCUUGUGGGGCCCGCGGCCUAUCAGCUAGUUGGUGAGGUAACGGCUCACCAAGGCUUUGACGGGUAGCUGGUCUGAGAGGACGACCAGCCACACUGGGACUGAGACACGGCCCAGACACCUACGGGUGGCAGCAGUCGAGAAUUUUUGACAAUGGGGGAAACCCUGAUCGAGCGACGCCGCGUGGAGGAUGAAGGUCUUCGGAUUGUAAACUCCUGUCAUUGGGGAACAAGGUGCAUACGUUAACUGCGUGUGUAUUGAUAGUACCCGAAGAGGAAGAGACGGCUAACUCUGUGCCAGCAGCCGCGGUAAUACAGAGGUCUCAAGCGUUGUUCGGAUUCAUUGGGCGUAAAGGGUGCGUAGGCGGCGCGGUAAGUCGGGUGUGAAAUCUCGGAGCUUAACUCCGAAACUGCAUUCGAUACUGCCGUGCUUGAGGACUGGAGAGGAGACUGGAAUUCACGGUGUAGCA
rnacentral:rRNA from 1 species